rnacentral:rRNA from 1 species
UUAAAUUGAAGAGUUUGAUCAUGGCUCAGAUUGAACGCUGGCGGCAGGCCUAACACAUGCAAGUCGAACGGUAACAGGAAGCAGCUUGCUGCUUCGCUGACGAGUGGCGGACGGGUGAGUAAUGUCUGGGAAACUGCCUGAUGGAGGGGGAUAACUACUGGAAACGGUGGCUAAUACCGCAUAACGUCGCAAGACCAAAGAGGGGGACCUUCGGGCCUCUUGCCAUCAGAUGUGCCCAGAUGGGAUUAGCUUGUUGGUGAGGUAACGGCUCACCAAGGCGACGAUCCCUAGCUGGUCUGAGAGGAUGACCAGCCACACUGGAACUGAGACACGGUCCAGACUCCUACGGGAGGCAGCAGUGGGGAAUAUUGCACAAUGGGCGCAAGCCUGAUGCAGCCAUGCCGCGUGUAUGAAGAAGGCCUUCGGGUUGUAAAGUACUUUCAGCGGGGAGGAAGGUGUUGUGGUUAAUAACCGCAGCAAUUGACGUUACCCGCAGAAGAAGCACCGGCUAACUCCGUGCCAGCAGCCGCGGUAAUACGGAGGGUGCAAGCGUUAAUCGGAAUUACUGGGCGUAAAGCGCACGCAGGCGGUCUGUCAAGUCGGAUGUGAAAUCCCCGGGCUCAACCUGGGAACUGCAUUCGAAACUGGCAGGCUUGAGUCUUGUAGAGGGGGGUAGAAUUCCAGGUGUAGCGGUGAAAUGCGUAGAGAUCUGGAGGAAUACCGGUGGCGAAGGCGGCCCCCUGGACAAAGACUGACGCUCAGGUGCGAAAGCGUGGGGAGCAAACAGGAUUAGAUACCCUGGUAGUCCACGCCGUAAACGAUGUCUACUUGGAGGUUGUGCCCUUGAGGCGUGGCUUCCGGAGCUAACGCGUUAAGUAGACCGCCUGGGGAGUACGGCCGCAAGGUUAAAACUCAAAUGAAUUGACGGGGGCCCGCACAAGCGGUGGAGCAUGUGGUUUAAUUCGAUGCAACGCGAAGAACCUUACCUGGUCUUGACAUCCACAGAACAAUCCAGAGAUGGAUUGGUGCCUUCGGGAACUGUGAGACAGGUGCUGCAUGGCUGUCGUCAGCUCGUGUUGUGAAAUGUUGGGUUAAGUCCCGCAACGAGCGCAACCCUUAUCCUUUGUUGCCAGCGAUUAGGUCGGGAACUCAAAGGAGACUGCCAGUGAUAAACUGGAGGAAGGUGGGGAUGACGUCAAGUCAUCAUGGCCCUUACGACCAGGGCUACACACGUGCUACAAUGGCGCAUACAAAGAGAAGCGACCUCGCGAGAGCAAGCGGACCUCAUAAAGUGCGUCGUAGUCCGGAUUGGAGUCUGCAACUCGACUCCAUGAAGUCGGAAUCGCUAGUAAUCGUGGAUCAGAAUGCCACGGUGAAUACGUUCCCGGGCCUUGUACACACCGCCCGUCACACCAUGGGAGUGGGUUGCAAAAGAAGUAGGUAGCUUAACCUUCGGGAGGGCGCUUACCACUUUGUGAUUCAUGACUGGGGUGAAGUCGUAACAAGGUAACCGUAGGGGAACCUGCGGUUGGAUCACCUCCUUACCUUAAAGAA